CGUGCUUCUAUCCAACGGUGGCUUGACUCUGGCCACCGUACUUGCCCAAUUACUAAGCUACCUCUUCCCGACCAUCCUCCUCUCAUCCCCAACCAUGCUCUUAGAAGUCUAAUUUCCAAUUAUACCCUCCUCUCCCCUCCAAAAUCACAGCCUAACCCUUCACAGCAACCGCAGCCUCAAACCCUAAUCUCCGCUGUCAUUUCUCCGUCUUCUCCUCUCAACUCCAGGCUCGACUCCCUCUCUCAGCUCACCAGACUUAGCAAACUAGACCAUGCCCUUCGCCGCCAGCUGACCGAGUCUGGAGCCGUGUCAGCUGUUCUGAACUGUGUCAGCUCGACGGAGACUGUCCUUCAGGAGAAAGCCCUCUCUCUAUUACUCAAUCU
rnacentral:misc_RNA from 1 species